UACGAAGGGGGCUAGCGUUGCUCGGAAUUACUGGGCGUAAAGAGCGCGCAGGCGGUCGAUCAAGUCGAGUGUGAAAAGCCCCCCGGCUCAACUGGGGGAGGGGUCAUUCGAUACUGAUCGACUCGAAGGCAGGGAGGAGGGAAGUGGAAUUCCUGGUGUAGCGGGUGAAAUUCGUAGAUAUUCGGAAGAACACCAGUGGCGGAAGGCGGCUCACUGGCCCGAGUACGUGACGCUGAGGCACGAAAGCGUGGG
rnacentral:rRNA from 1 species